GUUGUGAUUUGCUUUCAUUUUAGUAUCUUUGAAUCAUUGGGAACAAC
rnacentral:other from 1 species